rnacentral:lncRNA from 1 species
UUAUUUUUCACUCCAUGAACAUAAGUACUGCAAUCAUGCAUGACCACAUACAGCUUCUUCAUUCGAUGAAUUUGAUGGGUUAGGGAUAUAAGUUGAAGAAGAAACACUUUAAACAUAUUAAUCAUAUCUGCAAACAAAUAAAAGAAAAAGAAAAAGAAAUUGGUUGCCAAAUUCCAACAGUUGCAAAAUAAAUUAACAAGCAAUAUAGAGACAAAAGUUAAUAGAAAUAAACAUAUUUUGCUAGAAAACAAAAAAAUUCAUAAGCUAUGAACAAAUCAACUCAAUUAUCUUAAAGGAAAAAUAGAGAAUAAGAAUGUUGUAGCACAUUUGAUUAGAAAUAAGAUACAAUAUAUUUAACUACAGAUAUAAAUUAAAAAAAAAAGUGAUGAUGAAUUCAUUCUCUUAUAUAUAUAUGAAUAAGAGAGAGUGAGAGAGCAAAUUAUAGCAUUCAAGUUUUCAGUAUAACAUCUAGUUUCAAGAAAGUGUGUUUAUUUCUCAUUAUAUAAAAAACAAUGAUUUUCCAGCUAAAAAAAAAUCAUAAUAAAAUUUAAUAUCUAAUACAACAUAGUAUGUUUUUUCAAAAAAAAGCUUGAUAUUAUGUCUUUUAGCCACCAAGCCUGAGUGUGAGAGUAAAGCAUUUAACUCUUGAUAAUUACACACUUUCUGCAUAAUGCAAUUAGUGUCAACUCAUUCCAAAUUACUCUACUAGAAUAAUAAAACAUUUCAGCCAUUGUAUUGAUGGAGCUACUAAUCCAGAAUAUUCACAAUAAAUAUAGAGUUCAAGGCAAUUAAGAGAUGUACCUCUUAAAGCUAUGCAUAUUCUCUAUCUUUCUAAGACAAUCUUUAAUUCAUAUAGUUCCACCCCCUUUGAAUUCACAAACCAAGACUUUACAAACAAAGGCCUUAUAUCAUUAAUCUUAAUACCUUUUUACCAAAAAAUCACUAUAUUCAUAAAUAAAAAUCACAAGUUAACGUUUUAACCUCGUGUUGGGUCAUUAAUCUUAAUACCUUUUUACCAAAAAAUCACUAUAUUCAUAAAUAAAAAUCACAAGUUAACGCUUUAACCUCAUGUUGGGCUGUCUUAGUUUUCACAUGGCAGAGGAAUCUACGAUAAUGUGUAUGUUUUCCUAAGAAGAAAAAGGAACAAAAAAUAGGGAAAGGAAGCCAAGACUAAGAAAUAAUUAUUCAAUAAGCUGAAAAAUUAUCAUAUAUCAUGCAUGUUUUACACAAUCCCCUUAUAAAGUUAAAAAAAAAAACUACUUUAUUUUACACAAUCAAACGAUUUUAAAUAUUUGACCAGGAAACAUAACUUAGUAGGACAAGAAUGCAGCUAAAUUAUGAAAACCAUUUUGCUUGCAGAUAUUAAUUAGACAUUUCAGUUUUUCUUUUAUUUUUCACAAUUUAUCAGAAAUUAAACACACAUUCGUUCGGCAUUUUCACAUAAGCCAACCAAACCCUAACCUCUGGAAAAUUUGGUCACCUUUUAGCUUCAAGUUCAAAUAAUAAAUAACAUACAAAGUUCAAAAUACAAAAGUUAUCCAUCCUCUGCUUCAACCAAAAAUUCCUCCACUAAUUCGCUCCAGGAAACAUUAUUUGAAAAUAUAAAAUGAAAACCAAAAUUGCACAUUCAAAUGCAAAUAAUUUAAUGACAAAAAAAAUGUGCAAAUAUGGUAAAUGAAAGGAAAUAUCUGAAAAAGGAGACUCCAUCACAGAUCUACGAAACGAAACUCCAAAACAAUAUCGGCAUUGUCUCGUCAAAGUCUGUGACUCUCAUCGAUCCAUAUAACACAACGAAACAACAAAAUUUAACACGGGAAAAAAAAAGGGAAUGUAUAAGCAAAUAUCCGAGAGAAUAGAAGAAAACCGAGCUUACUGAGUUACUUGGAGCUCCAAGACUUUUCGAAGAUCGAAUUAGCAGAAGAAAACAAAACUUCAGCUAACAAGAAAUCUCGAGAAGUCGAAGCGAGAGGGGUGGUGUGCACUCGAGUAGGGUGAGCAAAAUGUGGAGAUCUAAAGCGGGUCUUGUGAGCUUGUGGCAUAGCGGCGUGGUGGAUGUUUUGCAUAAUGUAGAUCGUUAGGGUUUCGUAUGGUAUGGGUCUUAGAAUUUGAGCAGUGGUGUUAGGAUUUCUUAUGGCAUGGACCCUUGAAUUUUAGGGCUCGAAGUUUUAGAGGUAUGAAGAAGAAGAAUGAUAUCGCCAGAGAGAUGAGGCGGCUGGCCAUGGAUUUAGGAGUUAGGGAAUUUUAUGUUUA